UACGAGGGGGGCGAGCGUUUGUUCGGAAUUAUUGGGCGUAAAGGGUGCGUAGGCGGUUUGGUAAGUCUGAUGUGAAAUCUAUGGGCUCAACUCAUAGUCUGCAUCGGAAACUGCCGGGCUUGAGUGUGGGAGAGGUGAGUGGAAUUCCUGGUGUAGCGGUGAAAUGCGUAGAUAUCAGGAGGAACACCUGUGGCGAAAAGCGGCUCACUGGACCAUAACUGACGCUGAUGCACGAAAAGCUAGGGGGAGCAAAACAGGG
rnacentral:rRNA from 1 species